rnacentral:rRNA from 1 species
UACGAAGGGGGCUAGCGUUGUUCGGAAUUACUGGGCGUAAAGGGCGCGCAGGCGGCUGCUCAAGUCAGGCGUGAAAGGCCUGGGCUCAACCCGGGAAUUGCGCUUGAGACUGGGCUGGCUUGAGUGCGGGAGAGGAUGGUGGAAUUCCCAGUGUAGAGGUGAAAUGCGUAGAUAUCUGGAGGAACACCGGUGGCGAAGGCGGCAUCCUGGACCGACACUGACGCUGAGGAGCGAAAGCCAGGGGAGCAAACGGG